UUCAUGGCUAAAUCUGGUCCAUGAGACAGAACCCAAAGCAAUUGUGAGUAGGGCACUAACUCCUUUUCUUGUAGUUUUCCUCUUUCUCAAUAGUUUUCAACAGUUGUCCUGAUUCAUGCUUUAUCUUUGUGAAUCCAAUCCAUAUUUUUUAAACUCAGACUUAACAAAGACAAUUCUUACGGUUAAUUACGAGCCUAAGGAUGCAAUUGGGACCGGAAUUUUCUGGUUUCUGAAAAAUUGCUUGACACUGAAUGUUUUGAAGGAAAAGCCCAAGAAAAGCUUCUUCAACUUUUUCAAACAUCCAGAAGUCCUUGAAUGUUCUAAAGACAUUGAUGAAGAUGUUGUAUGGCGUGUUAUCUAUAUAAAUUCAAGGCUUAAUUUCGCAAGAAAAGCUUCCUACUAUAGCUUGAACAAUUUAAUUUAUUUUGUAACAGAUUGAGGAACUUCAAUAUCAGCUGGAAUACGACUAUGCCAUUGGGAGGAGGCUGCUCAUGGAAAGGAGUUUAGAUUCAUGGAUUCUUCUGACAAGGAGGAAGAGACAUGACUGGAUAUGCAUGAUGAACCAUGGAUGAAUCAUGAACGGUCGAAGAAACACUUUCAGCCAAGAAAAAGUCACCGUCUUGUAUCAGUGAACUUGGUGGGUAAUAAAGUUCCACUUUAUGGAGCUGGAUCAACCAUAAUGGUGUCGCAAACCGGCAGUGUUGAAGUUG